rnacentral:rRNA from 1 species
AGGAAUAUUGGUCAAUGGACGAGAGUCUGAACCAGCCAAGUAGCGUGCAGGAAGACGGCCCUAUGGGUUGUAAACUGCUUUUAUAAGGGAAUAAAGUGAGUCUCGUGAGACUUUUUGCAUGUACCUUAUGAAUAAGGACCGGCUAAUUCCGUGCCAGCAGCCGCGGUAAUACGGAAGGUCCGGGCGUUAUCCGGAUUUAUUGGGUUUAAAGGGAGCGUAGGCCGGAGAUUAAGCGUGUUGUGAAAUGUAGACGCUCAACGUCUGCACUGCAGCGCGAACUGGUUUCCUUGAGUACGCACAAAGUGGGCGGAAUUCGUGGUGUAGCGGUGAAAUGCUUAGAUAUCACGAAGAACUCCGAUUGCGAAGGCAGCUCACUGGAGCGCAACUGACGCUGAAGCUCGAAAGUGCGGGUAUCGAACAGGAUUAGAUACCCUGGUAGUCCGCACGGUAAACGAUGGAUGCCCGCUGUUGGUCUGAAUAGGUCAGCGGCCAAGCGAAAGCAUUAAGCAUCCCACCUGGGGAGUACGCCGGCAACGGUGAAACUCAAAGGAAUUGACGGGGGCCCGCACAAGCGGAGGAACAUGUGGUUUAAUUCGAUGAUACGCGAGGAACCUUACCCGGGCUUGAAUUGCAGAGGAAGGAUUUGGAGACAAUGACGCCCUUCGGGGUCUCUGUGAAGGUGCUGCAUGGUUGUCGUCAGCUCGUGCCGUGAGGUGUCGGCUUAAGUGCCAUAACGAGCGCAACCCCUCUCCUUAGUUGCCAUCAGGUUAAGCUGGGCACUCUGGGGACACUGCCACCGUAAGGUGUGAGGAAGGUGGGGAUGACGUCAAAUCAGCACGGCCCUUACGUCCGGGGCUACACACGUGUUACAAUGGCAGGUACAGAGAGACGGUCCCUUGCAAAAUGGAUCAAAUCCUUAAAGCCUGUCUCAGUUCGGACUGGGGUCUGCAACCCGACCCCACGAAGCUGGAUUCGCUAGUAAUCGCGCAUCAGCCAUGGCGCGGUGAAUACGUUCCCG